rnacentral:rRNA from 1 species
GAUGAACGCUGGCGGCGUGCCUAACACAUGCAAGUCGAGCGAACCCUUCGGGGUGAGCGGCGGACGGGUGAGUAACGCGGGGGUAACCUGCCCUAUACACACGGAUAACGCACCGAAAGGUACGCUAAUACGAGAUGAUAUAAGAGAUUCGCAUGGAUUGCUUAUCAAAGCUCCGGCGGUAUAGGAUGGACCCGCGUCUGGUUAGCUAGUUGGUAAGGUAACGGCUUACCAAGGCGACGAUCAUUGGUCGACCUGAGAGGGUGAUCGGCCACAUUGGAACUGAGACACGGUCCAAACUCCUACGGGAGGCAGCAGUGGGGAAUAUUGCACAAUGGGCGAAAGCCUGAUGCAGCAACGCCGCGUGAGCGAUGAAGGCCUUCGGGUCGUAAAGCUCUGUCCUCAAGGAAGAUAAUGACGGUACUUGAGGAGGAAGCCCCGGCUAACUACGUGCCAGCCGCCGCAGUAAAAC